CUUCUGACUCGUUAACAGCAAACGAACGUUCACUCAGGGACGUCUCUUCUGUUUUAGAGGGUGGCCGCCAUGUCAUAUUUCUGCUUUUCGUCGGGUGGAUAAAACGACAAGCUGGAUUCAAACACGGUUUAUAUUUACAAGGAAUUGGAAUGGUUGACAUGGACAUGAAAGGUGGUAAUGUAGUAACCGUAGCUGGAGAU